UCGGGGGUGGUGUAAUCGGCAACACAACAGUUUCUGGUACUGUUAUUCGGGGUUCGAGUCCCUGCCCCCGAGCUA
rnacentral:tRNA from 1 species